rnacentral:tRNA from 1 species
GUAGUUAUGUCAGAAAUAUAUGAGUUAGUUUUAAGCAUUAAUUAUGGAAGUCUCCUAACUACU